rnacentral:rRNA from 1 species
AACGCGAAGAACCUUACCUGCCCUUGACAUACCAGGAACCUAGCAGAGAUGUUGGGGUGCCGAAAGGAGCCUGGAUACAGGUGCUGCAUGGCUGUCGUCAGCUCGUGUCGUGAGAUGUUGGGUUAAGUCCCGUAACGAGCGCAACCCUUAUCAUUAGUUACCAUCAAGUAAAGUUGGGGACGCUAAUGAGACUGCUGGUGAGAAGCCGGAGGAAGGCGGGGACGACGUCAAGUCAUCAUGGCCCUUACGGGCAGGGCUACACACGUGCUACAAUGGUCGGUACAGAAGGCGGCGAACCCGAGAGGGGGAGCGAAUCCUUUAAAGCCGGUCGUAGUCCGGAUCGGAGUCUGCAACUCGACUCCGUGAAGUCGGAAUCGCUAGUAAUCGCGAAUCAGCAUGUCGCGGUGAAUACGUUCCCGGGCCUUGUACACACCGGUACUA